GAUGAACGCUGGCGGCGUGCCUAAUACAUGCAAGUCGAGCGAAUGAAGAGGAGCUUGCUCCUCUGAUUUAGCGGCGGACGGGUGAGUAACACGUGGGUAAUCUGCCUGUAAGACGGGGAUAACUCCGGGAAACCGGGGCUAAUACCGGAUAAUAAAAAGAAACGCAUGUUUCUUUUUUGAAAGUUGGUUUCGGCUAACACUUACAGAUGAGCCCGCGGCGCAUUAGCUAGUUGGUGAGGUAACGGCUCACCAAGGCGACGAUGCGUAGCCGACCUGAGACGGUGAUCGGACACACUGGGACUGAGACACGGCCCAGACUCCUCCGGGAGGCAGCAGUAGGGAAUCUUCGUCAAUGGGCGAAAGCCUGACUGAGCAACGCCGCGUGAGCGAUGAAGGCCUUCGGGUCGUAAAGCUCUGUUGUUAGGGAAGAACACGUACGAGAGUAACUGCUCGUACCUUGACGGUACCUAACCAGAAAGCCACGGCUAACUACGUGCCAGCCGCCGCAGUAAAAC
rnacentral:rRNA from 1 species